GAGUUUGAUCAUGGCUCAGGAUGAAUGCUGGCUGUAUGGAUAAGGCAUGCAAGUCGAACGGACCGCAAGGUCAGUGGCAGACGAGGUAGUAACACGUAGGUACGUACUCCGAAGUCGGGCAUAGCCAACCGAAAGGUUGGGUAAUUCCCGAUAGUCCCGUAAGGGUAAAGAUUUAUCGCUUCGGAAGCGGCCUGCGUAGUAUCAGCUUGUUGGUAAGGUAACGGCUUACCAAGGCUACGACGCUUAGGGGAGCUGAGAGGCUGACCCCCACCGAUGGGACUGAGACACGGCCCAUACUCCUACGGGAGGCCGCAGUCGAGAAUCUUCCGCAAUGGACGCAAGUCUGACGGAGCGAUACAGCGUGAUGGACGAAGUGCUUCGGUACGUAAACAUCUUUUAUGUGGGACGAAAUUAUUGACGGUACCACAUGAAUAAGGGGCUCCUAACUCUGUGCCAGCAGGAGCGGUAAUACAGAGGCCCCAAGCAUUAUCCGGAAUCACUGGGCGUAAAGGGUGUCAAGGCGGUCAUGUUAGUCGUUCGUUAAAUCUGGGGGCUCAACCUCCAGCCUGCGAGCGAAACGGCAUGACUUGAGGUCGGGAGAGGUGCGUGGAACUCAUGGUGUA
rnacentral:rRNA from 1 species